GCAAUCAGUUAAAACUUUCAACAAUGGACACUUGGUUCCGGCAUGAUGAAGAACGCAGCGAAAUGCGAUAACUAAUGUGAAUUGCAGAAUUCAGUGAAUCAUCGAGUCUUUGAACGCACAUUGCGCCCCCUGGUAUUCCGGGGGGCAUGCCCUGUCCGAGCGUCAUU
rnacentral:rRNA from 1 species